rnacentral:lncRNA from 1 species
GGGCCACACCCACAGCAUAUGGAGGUUCUCUGGCUAGGGGUAGAAUUGAAACUGCAGCUGCCAGCCUACACCACAGCCACAGCAACACCAGAUCUGAGCCGUCUGUGACCUACACCACAGCUCAUGACAACUCUGGAUCUUUAACCCACUGAUCGAAGACAGGGAUCGAACCUGUGUCCUCAUGGAUGCUAGUCAGAUUUGUUUCCACUGAGCCAAGACGGGCACUCCUCUUGAAGAUUUCUUAAUUUCAUUGGUUUGAGUCCACACAUAAUGCUCCUGGGCACAAUGUAACAUCCCAUUCAUCACACACAGGCAAUCCUAGUACCCAGCUUCCUGGGAAAGGACACAGCCUUUGAGAUUUGCUCUGGGGCUGACAAGCACAAUCAUGGUGCCAUCCUGGUCUUUCCUUUCUCAUGCCAUCUGCCAUCAAUUCACAAGAUUUUUUACCAAUUCACACUGGGUCUUAUCCUCAAGAUAUUUAAUAAAACAUAAAUUCCCACUGGUGGAGGGAAGAAAGCAAAAGGUAUAACAAAUAGUUUGCCUUGGGUUAUGCAAAACCUAUCAUAUUGCCUUUUAAUACUGGAUCAAUGAACUUUGUAUGCAUGUGCUCCAAAUUACGUAAAGGUGUUACAAUUUGAAAACUCGAGUUAUAAUAUUUCAUGUUUUGCAUUCCUUUCUGUUAGAAGCAUCCAACAUUUCCCUAUAAUUUUAUUUUAUCAUCACUUUCCCAGUGUCACUGUUCAAACUGCAUGUGCUACUUUGCUCAAAUUAGACCUACUUAGCAACAUUUUUAAGAACUAAAAUUGUGCUGAAAUACAUUUACAUCAGCUCUCUCAUCCCAUCUUUAGAGAAACAGGCAAACAACUCUAUUGUGCCAGUUCUCAAAAAACAUUUUUUAAAGCAAGCUUUGGCAAAUUAGAUAAUUAUUAAGCAAAACAAUACAAGCCAACAUGAUGCAUUAACAGUUUCUAACGUUAUUGAACCGAACGACAAGAGAGGCACUUUGUUCUUACUUACUUGGCAGACAAUUAUUCUUUGCUCCAGCAAUACUUCAUGUGCAUACUUCCAAGGAAGACUCAUGAAUGCAAAGGUUCAUUAAGGGAAUGAGAGAAUCGAUUGUAAAAUGGAAAAGGCCGGGUGAGGUCAUAUUUCAAAGAGAUGAAUAUGGUACACUCCAUUAUGUUGUAAUCAGCCUCCCUCUUCCAUUCCACAAACUGUAAUAGUUUAUCCUCAUUUUUAAAAAAGGAAAAACAAUUCUUGCAGCCUUUGGACCACCUCCAUCCUGAAGCCAGAGAAGGAGUCAGGCAUGCUGCAGGCAUUUUCCAUCCCGUGGUCCUUGGAGUCCACCAACCAAUGUUACUGACCAUUUUUCUCCUUAAUAAGAAAAACAUUCAAAUGCUACUAUUAUUGCUGCCCUGGCAAACCACACUUAAUAGAUGGUACUUGCCCUGUACAUGACACUUACAACAUCAAUCAAGACUGAAUUUUAUUUCAAUUUAUUAUGGUUUCUGUCCAAAUGAAAAAAUGCUUAUAUCGUAAAAAUGUCUUGCAAUAUAAAUGUGCUAAUGAUGUAAUCACAGAUUUCAGAAAAAAAAAUCCUGAUUUGGAUUAAACAUUGCCCAUCCUUCCUCCUAAAUUCAUCACUGAAGUUAAGCAUAACAAAAUAAUGGGACCAUUAGGAGGUGAUGUUGGUACAAAGCAGAAGUCACAUGUUAAAUAUUUUAUAUCUUUAUGAGGGAGUUUUAUUAUAUUUCCCUUCUUUAAGAAGGGAGUUGAUAUUUCCAAAUGAUCUGCGAUAAAUGACUUUAAUUUCACUUUCAUUGAAGGCUCAUUUGCAAUUUUUUUUUUACCCCUGGAAAAGACCAUUUAUCAGGGAGCAACACUACCCAGCCUAUUAGCCUGGAAUUUAUCCUUGGCCACAGCUGUUGGCCGGCAGAGGCUCCUCUGGGUCCUACAAAGUUCCUAGUGGGCUUCUGUCCCCAGUGAGGGGUGAAGUCAGAUGUCAAGAGAUGCUUUUUACCAAUGGUAAAGAAAAUCAUGCACAGUUCUGCUUCUCACUUGACUGGCCAGUGACUGAAUCUUGCUCCAAACAGCCCAGCAGUUGUCUCAAGAGGCUGGAAGGUCUGGGAAAUAAAGUAUCUAUUCUAGGCUGCAAAAGCCUCUCCUUGAGUGGAUCUCAGAACCACCUGGAAAGCUUGUUACACUUUCCAUUCCAGAAGGUGAAGGAAGUUCCCAGCUUGGGCACUGGGAACUUGCCUCUGUACACAGCAUCAUGUUUUGUUCAAGGUUCUGCUAUUUUAUUUUAUUUUUUCUUGAAAUUUUAAAUAAUUUUUGAAAGAGGGGCUCUACAUUUUCAUUUUUCAAUGUGUCCUACAAAUUAAAGAGCUGGUUACGACAGAAGUUAAAGGGUACAGCAGGAGAAGUGACCUUUCUAACAAGAACCCAGGCGAUGCUGAUGCCACUGGUCUGGGGAUUAUGAGAGCCACUGCUAGAAGCCAGAUUACUAAAUAUUUGCUGUUCCAAGCCACCUCAAGAAAGGCAUGGUAAUGAAACAGAAUUUUGGCUAACAAAGUGCAAGUAGAAUUCUACUAAGAAGUCCACAUAACCCUUCCAAACCAUAGAUUCUCCACCUUUUCUCCUGCCCUUCCUGCCUGGAAGCAGCUGUGGGGCCUGGCAACACAGCACUCACCUUGCAACAAAAGUUCAAUGCUGAACAUGUUGGCGCAGAAAGCUAAAAACAGCCAACACCGUACAUAUUUCUACUCUAGGGGAAGGAGAACUCCUAGGAAAUGGCAUGGAUCAGGAAAAGAAAUCCAUGUACUACAAUUAUUACACAAAAUUGAAACGUAUAAAAAAGUACUCAUCCCAAACCCUUGGGAAAACAAAACACUGCUAACAUUUGGGCAUUGUGUGCUCUGAUAUUAUUUGUUCUGGCACAGAGGUAUUUUUGGACAUUGCUGUGAUCAUACUCUGCAAUCACACUACGUAUUAGAUUUGUAUCUUAAUGUCAUCAGAGAAAUGGUCACUACCAAGGCUGUUGUCUAAUUUUACGUAUUCUCAUGAUAAAAAUGUUCUGAAAUUGUUGGUGCUUCAUCUCCCAAGCACUGUCUUACUUGCUGGCAACAAUCCUGUGAGUGGGGCAUGGAAGGGAGCAAUGCUCCAGUGCAGCAAUGAAGCCCUGGAACGCCACAGUGUCUGACAGUGCCCGCUAGCCUGCUAACAGAAUCUACUCCCAGCCUGUCCACUCCAAAGGGGAAAAUAAUCCCUUCUCAAGGUCACAAAAUGCCAUGAGACCUAAAGUCUGUACUUCCUCCUCUUGUCCAAUGUAGGACGUUAUACUAACUUUUCAUUUUCCUCUAUUUCUAAGAGAUGCCUCUGGGAAAAUAAAAAGGUUCCAUAAUGAGUAUAGUCUGGAAGCCUGAUUUCUACAAAUUUCUUCUUGGUCCUUCACCAUGCAAAGUAUAAAGUAAAGGUUCUUAAGAGUCCUGUAGCUAUUUUCUUUUUAGGUUUUGUUUAAACCAAAACUUUCAAAGUUAUUAGACCAUAUUAAGUCUUUCUUCAAGGAAAAAAAUCUCACCAACAUUUCUCAGAACAAUGGGGUCUAUGGAACAUGUUGUAAUAUAGAUAGAAGUCCCCUCUGUUUUGCUUUUUUAAUUUUUUUUGUUGUUUUGCUUUUUAGGGCCACACCUGCAGCUUACAGACAUUCCCAGGCGAGGGUCGAAUCAGAGCCGGCACAGCAGCAGCCACAGCCACAGCAACCCAGGAUCUGCCAUGUCUGGGACCUACACCACAGCUCAUGGCAGUGCCAGAUCCCUGACCCACCGAGUGAGGCCAAGGAUCAAACCCUCAUCCUCAUGGAUACUCAUUAGAUUUGUUUCCAUUUCACCACAAUGGGAUCUCCUUCCGGUUUCAAGAUUUUAUUGAAUAAAAAAUAUAGAAGGCCCAAAAAAAGAAUGAUAACUGCAUCAAGUUACCAAGUAUCAAUUUUGUACCCACAAACAUUUGAUCUAAAUAAUUUUAUAUUUUAUAGUUUUUAAAUAUAGUUUUAUACUUUUAAUAUACUUUUAUAGUAUUAGUCAUGGCACUUGAGAGGAUUAAGAAAUAUGGCCACUUUAACGUCAUGAAAUUUUUAUGAAAAUAAAAGUGGGGAAUUAAAUUCAAGAGCAAUCUUCCCCUUUACAAACGCAUAAUUUAGGCAAAAGAAUUUCUUUUGAAAAAUGUCAUGACCAAGAACUACACAUGCUACCCCAAAUUAAUAGCCCUAACUUGAGUUGCUGAAAUCACCCUGAGCGUUUUACACCACAUAUUUAUUUUACUAUUAGGUUUUUCAACAAAGUUCACUUUGGUCAUAUUUAAUUGAGUUAAACAGUUAUGCCUAAGGUUAGAAAUUAUGAAAUGAUGGAUAUGAACAACUACCCAACAUGGCAGUGCCCUGCUUUAUGGAGGAGGAGAGACAGGGCAUGUUGCUGGCUUUACACGUUUAUUUAAUUAGCAGCAGUCUAAUUUAGACAUAAGUGUCAGAGACAGACAUCAGGGAUGCCAAAUCAGACAGCUUCUGACUCCCAGCCAUUUUCUACAAGCUCAGCUUACGGACAACAGCUCCCCAUUCAGAGAAAUUGAAAUGCAUUAUUUUCCUGGAAGUCUGGCCAUUGGUUGGAUGUGAAGGGUUAACUUCUGGGCAAGUUCAAUGUGUGCAUUAUUUUUCUAGGUCAGUUUCCAUAACAGCUCAAUUUUUGGAAUGAGACAUAUCUAAAAUAGAGGUUUAUUGUUCCACAAAAGAAGUAAAUACUCCCCCAUUCUAAAUUCAUCAUUCAAACAAGUCUUGAUUAUUCUAGCCAGCUUUGGAAAAAUCCUGAGAUAAGCAAGAGGGAAGGUUAGGCUGUACUUUUUACAGUCUUUUUUAUUAUAACAAAAUUGUGCCUAACACAAUUUAUAAUUUUAAUUAUUUUAAGCGGACAGUUCAGCGAUGUUAAGCACAUUCACAAUGCUGUACACCCAUCGCUACUGCCCAUCUGCAGAACUUUAACAUCCUAAACUGAAACUCCGUACCCAUUAAAUUCUAACUCCCCAUGUUCCCCUCUCCCUCAGUCCUGGGAACUACAAUUCGACUCCCCAUCUCUGUGAACUUGCCUGUCCUAGGUACCUCAUGUAACUGGAAUCGCGCAAUGCCUGUCCUCUUGGGUCUGUCCUAUUUCACUUAGCAUAAUGUCCUCAAGGUGCCUCCAUGUUACAGCAUGUUACAGAAUUUCAUUCCCAUUUAGGGCUGAAUAAUAUCCAUUGUAUGCUACACAAAACAUUUUGUUCAGCCAUUCAUCCAUCCAGGGAUAUUUUCAUUGUUCCCACCUUAUGGCUCUUGUGAAUAUUGCUCUUAUGAACAAACAUCUUUUGAGUCCCUGAUCUCAACAUUUAGGGAACAUACCUAGGAGCCUAAAUAUUGGAUCA